AGUGGCGUACGGGUGAGUAACACGUGGAUCAUCUACCCUUUGGUGGGGAAUACCCCCGGGAAACUGGGGACAAUUCCGCAUACGCUCGCAAGAGGAAAGCCGAAAGGCGCCGAAGGAGGAGUCCGCGGCUGAUUAGCUAGUUGGCGGGGUAAUGGCCCACCAAGGCGAAGAUCGGUAGCCGGCCUGAGAGGGCACACGGCCACACUGGCACUGAAACACGGGCCAGACUCCUACGGGAGGCAGCAGUGGGGAAUCUUGCACAAUGGAGGAAACUCUGAUGCAGCGACGCCGCGUGAGCGAUGAAGCCCUUCGGGGUGUAAAGCUCUUUCGACGGGAACGAUAAUGACGGUACCCGAAGAAGAAGCUGCGGCUAACUACGUGCCAGCAGCCGCGGUAAUACGUAGGCAGCAAGCGUUGUUCGGAAUUACUGGGCGUAAAGAGUGUGUAGGCCGUGCUCUAAGUUCGGUGUGAAAUCUCCCGGCUCAACUGUGAGGGUGCGCCGAA
rnacentral:rRNA from 1 species